CCUACGGGUGGCAGCAGUCGAGAAUCAUUCACAAUGGGGGAAACCCUGAUGGUGCGACGCCGCGUGGGGGAAUGAAGGUCUUCGGAUUGUAAACCCCUGUCAUGUGGGAGCAAAUUAAAAAGAUAGUACCACAAGAGGAAGAGAAGGCUAACUCUGUGCCAGCAGCCGCGGUAAUACAGAGGUCUCAAGCGUUGUUCGGAAUCACUGGGCGUAAGGCGUGCGGAGGCUGUUUCGUAAGUCGUGUGUGAAAGGCGCGGGCUCAACCCGCGGACGGCACAUGAUACUGCGAGACUAGAGUAAUGGAGGGGGAACCGGAAUUCUCGGUGUAGCAGUGAAAUGCGUAGAUAUCGAGAGGAACACUCGUGGCGAAGGCGGGUUCCUGGACAUUAACUGACGCUGAGGCACGAAGGCCAGGGGAGCGAAAGGGAUUAGAUACCCGUGUAGUC
rnacentral:rRNA from 1 species